rnacentral:rRNA from 1 species
AUUGAACGCUGGCGGCAGGCCUAACACAUGCAAGUCGAACGAGUGGCGGACGGGUGAGUAAUGUCUGGGAAACUGCCCGAUGGAGGGGGAUAACUACUGGAAACGGUAGCUCAUACCGCAUACCAUCGGAUGUGCCCAGAUGGGAUUAGCUAGUAGGUGUGGUAACGGCGCACCUAGGCGACGAUCCCUCGCUGGCCUGAGAGGAUGACCAGCCACCCUGGAACUGAGACCCGUUCCAGACUCCUACGGGAGGCAGCAGUGGGGAAUAUUGCACAAUGGGCGCAAGCCUGAUGCAGCCAUGCCGCGUGUAUGAAGAAGGCCUUCUGGUUGUAAAGUACUUUCAGCGAGGAGGCGUUACUCGCAGAAGAAGCACCGGCUAACUCCGUGCCAGCAGCCGCGGUAAUAC